ACUGAAGUGUGGUUGGCUUGGCCGCAGUGGCAUGCAGUGUUUCUGAGGGAGAGUAAUCACUGUGCUGAUCUGGGUUUUGGAAUGGGGAAUAGAUAAUGGAAGGUGAGCAUUCUCAGCAAAUGGUGGAACUCUGGCUAAAGAUGCCCUCCAGGAAGAGAGACUGGAAGCUGUGUGGGAAGAACAGUACCCAGUAUUGUCUGGCUGAGAUGCUCAUCAAUUGAGUGAUGGAAAGGAAACUUGAGCAGCUCAAAGAUGGUCAGGGAAAAAAAUCCAGCUGCCCCGCUGUGGCCACGGGAGGGCCUGUGUCAGGCCCCACACUGUUUCUUCUGCCCGGUGUGAUAAGGUAGCCAGCCUGUGGUGUCUGGAUGGACCCUUGGUGCCAGCCCCAGGCCUGCAUUGCUGGCAGCUGGAGGGACACCUAUGGAGUUGCUGGCUACAGGAAACCAAAGGAGACCAGGCGUGAAACUAGCCAUGUUGGUAUCAGCCUUGGACUGGACCCCCGUGCUCGACUUGUAAUUCCAGAAUUCUCUCCCAGCGCUGUUGAGCACCACACAUGCCACUUGCUGUGUGUGCAGCUGGUUCUUUGCUGAAAACUGUAUCCCAUGGGAUGUGGUUGCUUACAUUGAAGUUACUAAUCCCCCAAACA